GACGAACGCUGGCGGCGUGCUUAACACAUGCAAGUCGUACGGUAAGGCCCUUUCGGGGGUACACGAGUGGCGAACGGGUGAGUAACACGUGAGUAACCUGCCCACAACUUUGGGAUAACGCUCGGAAACUGGUGCUAAUACUGGAUAGGUGCCCCUGCUGCAUGGUGGGGGGUGGAAAGCUCCGGCGGUUGUGGAUGGACUCGCGGCCUGUCAGCUUGUUGGUGGGGUAGUGGCCUACCAAGGCGGCGACGGGUAGCCGGCCUGAGAGGGUGACCGGCCACAUUGGGACUGAGAUACGGCCCAGACUCCUACGGGGGGCAGCAGGGGGGAAUAUUGCACAAUGGGCGCAAGCCUGAUGCAGCAACGCCGCGUGCGGGAUGACGGCCUUCGGGUUGUAAACCGGUUUCAGCAGGGACGAAGCUUUUUGUGACGGUACCUGCAGAAGAAGCACCGGCUAACUACGUG
rnacentral:rRNA from 1 species